rnacentral:rRNA from 1 species
AGAAUCAACGCUGGCGGCGUGCCUAACACAUGCAAGUCGCACGAGAAAGGGUAGCAAUACCUGAGUAAAGUGGCGCACGGGUGAGUAACACGUGAAUUAUCUACCUCCGAGUGGGGGAAUAACUGAGAGAAAUCUUAGCUAAUACCGCAUAACACUUACGAGUCAAAGCAGCAAUGCGCUUGGAGAGGAGUUCGCGGCAGAUUAGUUAGUUGGCGGGGUAAUGGCCCACCAAGACGAUGAUCUGUAUCCGGCCUGAGAGGGCGCACGGACACACUGGAACUGAAACACGGUCCAGACUCCUACGGGAGGCAGCAGUGGGGAAUUUUGCGCAAUGGGGGAAACCCUGACGCAGCAACGCCGCGUGGAGGAUGAAAUCCCUUGGGAUGUAAACUCCUUUCGAUAGGGAAGAUAAUGACGGUACCUAUAGAAGAAGCCCCGGCUAACUUCGUGCCAGCAGCCGC